rnacentral:rRNA from 1 species
AACGAACGCUGGCGGCAUGCCUAACACAUGCAAGUCGAACGAGACCUUCGGGUCUAGUGGCGCACGGGUGCGUAAGGCGUGGGAACCUGCCCUUAGGUUCGGAAUAACUCCCCGAAAGGGGUGCUAAUACCGGAUAAUGUCUUCGGACCAAUGAUUUAUCGCCUUUGGAUGGGCCCGCGUUGGAUUAGCUAGUUGGUAGGGUAAAAGCCUACCAAGGCGACGAUCCAUAGCUGGUCUGAGAGGAUGAUCAGCCACACUGGGACUGAGACACGGCCCAGACUCCUACGGGAGGCAGCAGUGGGGAAUAUUGGACAAUGGGCGAAAGCCUGAUCCAGCAAUGCCGCGUGAGUGAUGAAGUCCUUAGGGUUGUAAAGCUCUUUUACCCGGGAUGAUAAUGACAGUACCGGGAGAAUAAGCUCCGGCUAACUCCGUG